GAUGAACGCUGGCGGCGUGCCUAAUACAUGCAAGUCGAGCGAACAGACGAGGAGCUUGCUCCUCUGACGUUAGCGGCGGACGGGUGAGUAACACGUGGAUACCCUACCUAUAAGACUGGGAUAACUUCGGGAAACCGGAGCUAAUACCGGAUAACAUGUUGAACCGCAUGGUUCAACGGUGAAAGACGGUCUUGCUGUCACUUAUAGCUGGAUCCGCGCCGCAUUAGCUAGUUGGUAAGCUAACGGCUUACCACGGCAACGAUGCGUAGCCGACCUGAGAGGGGGAUCGGCCACACUGGAACUGAGACACGGUCAAGACUCCUACGGGAGGCAGCAGUAGGGAAUCUUCCGCAAUGGGCGAAAGCCUUACGGAGCGACGCCGCGUGAGUGAAGAAGGUCUUCGGAUCGUAAAACUCUGUUAUUAGGGAAGAACAAAUGUGUAAGUAACUAUGCACGUCUUGACGGUACCUAAUCAGAAAGCCACGGCUAACUACGUG
rnacentral:rRNA from 1 species